AAAAAAAAAGUAAAUAAAUAAAUGGGGUUUGCCACAUCUCUGGAGUAGCAACUCUCAAAUACUUUUUUAUUUAACAAAUAAUACCUGUAUGACUAUUUCAAUAGUUUGUUUUACAAUGUUAUGUAAAAUACUGUAUGUUGUAUCAAUCAUAUAUGUUAUGUGUAUAUGCCCCCCUGGGGACCUAAUUUGGAAAAUAAAAUUUAUCUUAUCUUAUCUUAUCUUAUA
rnacentral:lncRNA from 1 species